rnacentral:rRNA from 1 species
UUUAUGGAGAGUUUGAUCCUGGCUCAGGAUGAACGCUGGCGGCGUGCCUAAUACAUGCAAGUCGAGCGAACGGACGAGAAGCUUGCUUCUCUGAUGUUAGCGGCGGACGGGUGAGUAACACGUGGAUAACCUACCUAUAAGACUGGGAUAACUUCGGGAAACCGGAGCUAAUACCGGAUAAUAUUUUGAACCGCAUGGUUCAAAAGUGAAAGACGGUCUUGCUGUCACUUAUAGAUGGAUCCGCGCUGCAUUAGCUAGUUGGUAAGGUAACGGCUUACCAAGGCAACGAUGCAUAGCCGACCUGAGAGGGUGAUCGGCCACACUGGAACUGAGACACGGUCCAGACUCCUACGGGAGGCAGCAGUAGGGAAUCUUCCGCAAUGGGCGAAAGCCUGACGGAGCAACGCCGCGUGAGUGAUGAAGGUCUUCGGAUCGUAAAACUCUGUUAUUAGGGAAGAAUAUAUGUGUAAGUAACUGUGCACAUCUUGACGGUACCUAAUCAGAAAGCCACGGCUAACUACGUGCCAGCAGCCGCGGUAAUACGUAGGUGGCAAGCGUUAUCCGGAAUUAUUGGGCGUAAAGCGCGCGUAGGCGGUUUUUUAAGUCUGAUGUGAAAGCCCACGGCUCAACCGUGGAGGGUCAUUGGAAACUGGAAAACUUGAGUGCAGAAGAGGAAAGUGGAAUUCCAUGUGUAGCGGUGAAAUGCGCAGAGAUAUGGAGGAACACCAGUGGCGAAGGCGACUUUCUGGUCUGUAACUGACGCUGAUGUGCGAAAGCGUGGGGAUCAAACAGGAUUAGAUACCCUGGUAGUCCACGCCGUAAACGAUGAGUGCUAAGUGUUAGGGGGUUUCCGCCCCUUAGUGCUGCAGCUAACGCAUUAAGCACUCCGCCUGGGGAGUACGACCGCAAGGUUGAAACUCAAAGGAAUUGACGGGGACCCGCACAAGCGGUGGAGCAUGUGGUUUAAUUCGAAGCAACGCGAAGAACCUUACCAAAUCUUGACAUCCUUUGACAACUCUAGAGAUAGAGCUUUCCCCUUCGGGGGACAAAGUGACAGGUGGUGCAUGGUUGUCGUCAGCUCGUGUCGUGAGAUGUUGGGUUAAGUCCCGCAACGAGCGCAACCCUUAAGCUUAGUUGCCAUCAUUAAGUUGGGCACUCUAAGUUGACUGCCGGUGACAAACCGGAGGAAGGUGGGGAUGACGUCAAAUCAUCAUGCCCCUUAUGAUUUGGGCUACACACGUGCUACAAUGGACAAUACAAAGGGCAGCGAAACCGCGAGGUCAAGCAAAUCCCAUAAAGUUGUUCUCAGUUCGGAUUGUAGUCUGCAACUCGACUACAUGAAGCUGGAAUCGCUAGUAAUCGUAGAUCAGCAUGCUACGGUGAAUACGUUCCCGGGUCUUGUACACACCGCCCGUCACACCACGAGAGUUUGUAACACCCGAAGCCGGUGGAGUAACCUUUUAGGAGCUAGCCGUCGAAGGUGGGACAAAUGAUUGGGGUGAAGUCGUAACAAGGUAGCCGUAUCGGAAGGUGCGGCUGGAUCACCUCCUUUCU